ensembl:lncRNA
GCCCAUCUUCACUUGUGGUUUUCCCACUGAAUCUGAAAGGAGGGCAGGAAUCAGUGAAAGGUGAAUGCUCUUGGCAAACGACUGUAUUAAAAGAGAAUACCUCCAGUCCCCUCUCUUACAGAAACUGGUGUAAACCUGGAAGAGUGCUGUGAAAGCUCCCAUUCAGUGGAAUUUUCCACUUGGCUUAUAUACAUAUGUAUGCUGUGUGCUGCUGGGAUGCUGGCAGAGUGGAUGCAGGGACUACAGAAUGAGUGGCUUCUUUGGUGCUUCAAGUACAGGAAAAACAUAAGUGGAUAAUGAUAAGAAAUGGCUUAUAAAAGCCAGCUCUUGAAAGUGCUGUAAUGUAGCAGUUAUUCAGAAAGUGAAUGGCAGGGUUUCACAAAAGACUACGUAUCAUAGACACCACACUUCAAGCUGUGAUGGUGAUUUCUGUAUUUUGAUUUAUUUCAAGGUUUGCAUUCAUUAGGAUUGAUAAAAGGUUAAUAAUAAGCCCCAACAUUUCUGACCGUACCAGCAAAGAGUGCCACUUGCACCUUUCUGUUUUCUCUGUGCUGAGUCCCUGCAGAUCUGUAACCUAGGGGAAGAGAAAGCACCUGUAGCUAUCUGAAUAUAUUGGAACACAAUGUGCACUGUGGAAGGGGUUGAUCCCAGGUUCCCCACUAACCUAGCUGAAGUAUGUUGUUUGAAAUAUUGAGCUCCUAAAGAAAAAACCAAACCAAAACAAAACAGGCCAGUGUGGCUUCCUCUUACUGUUUUGGUUGUGUUUUAUCAAUCAGAACUGGCUUUGGGUUCCUGCCACGAUGGAGGUAUAAAGAGCUGUGAAACCCAGGUAGUCAAGCAUCUCCUUGAUGCAGAUGCACACCAGAUGGGGAAAGAAAGAUGACAAAAGGGAGCUCAACACUUCUAUCCCCUACUGAUGUCAACAUCAUCUCUGAAGAAAGCUUCACCUUCCAUCCGAAGGAGCUGUCAAGAAUAAUCUGGAAGAGUAAAAGAGUCUUAUUGGAAAAUGCCUCCUUACCUUCAGUAAUCUAAUAAUCUACAGUGGUAAGGUCAAAUAAUUUUUAGUGAUAUAGCCUUUAAUCUUCUAUCAAUAACUUCUUUUAAUUACAGCUGAGCUGCUGAAAUGUAUAGAGAUCUUUCUGGAGUUAAAAUGAACAGCUAUAACUCUGCUCUGAAGAGUCCACUAUUGCCAAAGAGACAGCAGUUCCCUUUCUCUAUUACCACCUCCCUAGAAAUCAACUGGCUGCAAAAACAAAAGGUGUUGAGCCCAUGACAUCAUGCCAAAAAUCUGGUGGUGUCAUAACUCAUAUCCGUGACAAACUGAGCCAAGAUUACUGAAGAAGAUUUUUGUGGCUUAUUCUAAUCUACACCUACUUGACUUUGACUUUCCAUGUUUCUAACUAGCUAGCUACACUAAGAGCUGUGGAUAUAUUUUCUAGAUAAUUGUGACUAUCUCUGUGGGCCAUGAUUUUUUAAAAUACCAAUGAGUCUGACAUUGUACGUUCCCCAGGGAGAAGGGAACACGUUGCCUGGGAGCCAGGAAGGCCUGCUCAGAGCAGGGUGAUCCCAGUACUGAGCAGCACAGUCCAGGCUGUAACAUGCAUACUGAUCACUUAAAGUCUUUUGGGUAGAUUAAUAAAAGUACAAAACAUUAUUAAAGCCAAAGUACAAGUUUCAUAGCCCACCACCCACCCUGAAAAGUUGCAGUUCUCCCUUGAUUUCAUAUAACAAAUUUUGCUGAGUUACUUGAAGACCUCACAACUCCAGUUUCCGAUGGCUUCAGAGGUUUUGUUUGGUAAUGGUGCAGUGAUAACUUCACUGGUUCUGCAGGGUAGUACUGCAAGACUCCAGCUCUUUAUAAAAAAAAACAAGUAAAUCAAAACUCAGUGUACUUCACAUCAAAGGAAGACUGUAUUUUACUCCUUUCUCUACGUGUAGGACUCUCCAGAAGUCCAAAACGAAGAUGCAUAUAAUGACCUUGCAAAUAAGAUCAGUGUAAUUCAGAGAAUGAAAUUAAUUCUUCAAGCCCUGGCUUUGUUUGUCACUUACCAUCACUGUAGUUUCUUUUCAUCCUUAAUUUUUGCUCCUCUCCAGUAUUUCCUAUAAAGAGUUUUAUUUAGAGGAAGAAAUAAAAAGAGGAGUUUAUGCAUCCAUUAUUUAAUGAUGGACUUCUAUCCUGGGGGGAAAUAGGCAAGAAGGAUUCAGAUGGCAGAGUGAAGUGAAUUAAAGACCAAAAAAUUUCCUAAAUUUGGCUGAGAGUUUAUUACUUAAUUUGCAUAACUCUGGUUUUAAUGUCAGUGACUUCUUUCCUGAUUCAUUGUUGGGAUUUUUUUGUUUUCAAAUUUAAUUGCUUGUGUAUUAAUUUUCACAAUUCUGGAGCCAGCAUCCCUGUGAGAUCUAAUUUAAGGAUUGUAUUUCCUCUUUGGAAAAUA